rnacentral:rRNA from 1 species
UACAGAGGUCUCAAGCGUUGUUCGGAUUCAUUGGGCGUAAAGGGUGCGUAGGCGGCGCGGUAAGUCGGGUGUGAAAUCUCGGAGCUUAACUCCGAAACUGCAUUCGAUACUGUUUUGCUUGAGGACUGGAGAGGAGAUUGGAAUUCACGGUGUAGCAGUGAAAUGCGUAGAUAUCGUGAGGAAGACCAGUGGCGAAGGCGGAUCUCUGGACAGUUCCUGACGCUGAGGCGCGAAGGCCAGGGGAGCAAAUGGG